AACUGCCCAAGGGUGUUUAAUACCUAAGUUCAAAUUCAGCCUCAGACUUUACUAGCUGUAUGACCCUGGGCAUGUCAUUUAACUUCUGUUCGCCUCAGUUUCAUCAGUGGUAAAAUGGAGAAAUGUGUCUUAGAUGUCUGUGAGGAACAAAUGAGAUAUUAUUCAUAAGACUUUUAGUAUCUACCAUAUAGUAGAUACUAUAUUAAUGCUUAUUCUCUUCCCUUCUCUCUCCCUUUCUUGUAUUCCAUGUUCCAGUUCCAUGGUCUAUUUGCUUUUUGUAGAACUUAAAUGUUUCAUUUCCUGCCUCUUUACCCCUUAUAAACCCCACAUUCUUGUAAUUAAUUCCCUCCUCACAUCCAUCUCUGUGAAUCCCUAAUUACCUUUAAGACUCUGGUCAUGUGCCACUUCCUACAGGGAGCCUUUCUUGAUCUUCCUAACAGCAUCAAGUUUUGUUUGGUCACUCCCUCAUCAAAUUAUCAUGCCUAUAUAAUGGAGGGCCUGAGCAAUAAAGACCUUGGCCUCAGAGAAUGCCCAGAUUUUCCCUUCUAGAAACCUAGAAAAAAUAUGUGUAAUAGUAUUAAUUACAAGAAUGUGGGGUUUAUAAGGGGCAAAGAGGCAGGAAAUGAAACAUUUAAGUUCUACAAACAGCAAAUAGACCAUGGAACUGGAACAUGGAAUACAAGAUUCUAAUCUAAUACUUGGAGGCUUGAUGGGCCCAUGUCCAGCCAUGAAGGACUUAUGGUUUCUUGUUGGGUAAUGAAGACACUUGUGGUUUGCUGAGAAGCUGGAAGAACUGAUGCCUAAGGAGACAUUCAUCUAGAACUGAGUUCUCAUACAAAAGGAUUGAUGGACCCUUCCUUUGGCCCUUUGGUUCUCUUUUGCUUCUUGGUGGUGAAGGAGGCAGAACUGUUGUGAAUUCAUAUCUGGAGAAAAGAAUGCCCAGGCAACCAAUGACUUCAGAAGAUCCAUCAAAAUCAUCCGAGAUUCUGUUGGCAGCUGGAGUAAGUUACAGAGACUACCAAGAUCUUGUAGCAGUAUGAGUUAAGUCCAGUGAGGAGCCACCAUUGUAGUAAAGCCACCUGCCUGGCCCAACCCAGCAAGAGAAUGCUAAGCCACCGCUUCUUUCUAGUGAGCUCAGAAGGGCUCAGAGGCCUCCGGCAAUGGGAAACACCCACAACUCUGCUCUUCCCAAGGACCUCUUUGAUGAAAAUGAAACAUUUCCAAACAACCUUUCAUCAUAACUGGCAUUGCCAUGGGAAAUGUGAGAUAAUACCUGAUCCAACCCUUGUGAAAUCUCUCCCAAGCUACCAGCCUAAUUUCUUUUUCUUUUUUUUUAAAGAAGAGCUUUUAAGAUCUGGUGAUAUUUUCCUUGUAAUUUCAUGUAAACUGUACUUGUGGUACAGGAAGUGCUUCAGUCCAACUGUAUCUGCCAAUAAGGAUUUGCAAAAGUGUGUGAGAUGGAAAUGCAGAGAAGAUUGUUGUACAUUUUGUUGAGUUGAACCCAAGAGUCAAUUUUCUUUCCCUGAAAGAAAAAUUUGUCGGUAGCCCUUGCCUGCUGAUGUUCUUCCUGCAAGAAAACGCAGCUGAAUUUAUGAAUAUGAGAAGAUUAAAAAAAAUAACCAAUAGGGCACAUUCGAUGAAACCAGCCACAUGCAAAAGAGGCUUUAAGUCAUUUCUAGGAAUGCUUGGAAAGGGGCCUCAAAUGUGAAAAUCAUAAAAAAAAAUUAAUCCUUACAACUUGGCUGCUUGAUGUUUUUGGAUUUUUCUUAAAAACAAAACCAAAAACAAAUCCACUCUCAAGGGGGCAGUUAAGUAGCUCAAUGGAUUGAGAACCAAGGCAAGAAAUAGGAGAUCUGGUCUCAGAUACUUCCUAGCUGUGUGACCCUGGGCAAGUCACUUAACCUCCAUUGCCUGGCCCUUACUGUUUUUCUGCCUGGGGACCAAUACACCGUAUUGAUUCUAAGAGAGAAGGUAAGGAUUUUUUUUUUAAUUACACUCCUAGUUUAUUGUCUUUGUCUCUUUUGCUGAUGAAAGGUUUUAGCUAAACAAAAUUUCCUCUCAGCACUGGGUCUUUCCUCCCAGAAGGUGUUUGUAGGACAUUAAGAGAUAUGAGUGGCCAAUUCAAAGAUGGGAGAAGAGGUCACAUCCAACAUCUCGAUGAGAACUGAUUGCUGGCUUGUCUUCUCUAACACAACCAUAUGAUUCCCAUCAUCCAUUAUGGCACAGCAUUCCUGUACUCAACCUUCUCCCAUUUCUGAUG